rnacentral:misc_RNA from 1 species
UUUCCGUAGGUGAACCUGCGGAAGGAUCAUUACUGAGUGAGGGCCCCUCGGGGUCCAACCUCCCACCCGUGUUUAACGAACCUUGUUGCUUCGGCGGGCCCGCCUCACGGCCGCCGGGGGGCAUCUGCCCCCGGGCCCGCGCCCGCCGAAGCCACAUGUGAACGCUGUCUGAAGUAUGCAGUCUGAGACAAUUAUUAAAUUAAUUAAAACUUUCAACAACGGAUCUCUUGGUUCCG